UUUUUUUCCUUCCUUGUGUUUCUUUUAUUUGGGAGAGGCUGCUGGGGCCUUUCUUAUAGUGGCCGCCAGUGGGCUUCCGUCCACUUGCUGGCCCAUGUAUCUCCCUCCAGCGAGAGCCCAGUCGAGCGACCUCCUCCAUCCUGACGGCGCUACCUCUCUUCCCCCGCGCGCCUCCUUUCCGUCAGACGAGAGUGAGAGAGAGGUAUUGACGCCGUGAGCAGCAACGUCGAGGACCCUAUAAAACGCGUUGGCGUCCGUGCCAGUAGUCUAGGGUUCCCUUCCCC
rnacentral:lncRNA from 1 species